AACGAACGCUGGCGGCGUGCCUAACACAUGCAAGUCGAACGGAAUUAAAGAGCUUGCUCUUUGAUUUAGUGGCGCACGGGUGAGUAACGCGUAGAUAAUCUGCCUGACGAUCUGGGAUAACACUUCGAAAGAGGUGCUAAUACCGGAUAAGCCCACGGGUUCUUUGGAAUCUGCGGGAAAAGGGGGGGACCUUCGGGCCUUCUGUCGUCAGAUGAGUCUGCGUACCAUUAGCUAGUUGGUAGGGUAAAGGCCUACCAAGGCGACGAUGGUUAGCUGGUCUGAGAGGAUGGUCAGCCCCACUGGAACUGAGACACGGUCCAGACUCCUACGGGAGGCAGCAGUGGGGAAUUUUGCGCAAUGGGCGAAAGCCUGACGCAGCAACGCCGCGUGAGUGAUGAAGGCUUUCGGGUCGUAAAGCUCUGUCAAUGGGAAAGAAGUGUAUUUUGGCUAAUAUCCUUAAUACUUGACGGUACCCAUAAAGGAAGCACCGGCUAACUCCGUGCCAGCAGCCGCGGUAACAC
rnacentral:rRNA from 1 species